CUCGUGCUGGGUACCCUUCCCCAGAGGGGACCCCGAGCUGCCAGGAAAUUCCCUGGGAGGGCUGGGUGCAGAAUCCAAAAACCUGUGGAGUUUUUCUGGUUUUUUUAUAGGUAUUGGCCCUCUAGUGUUAUGAUUUUGUUUUGUCAGUAACAGAAAUAGAUUUUGUUUCCACGUGUCUUAAUUGCAUGUAAAUUAGUGUCUAAAAUACAUGUAUAAAUCACAUAUUAAAGUCUACAGAUUGAAAUUUAUAUGUAUAAAUUCCAUAGAGAUUAGUGUAUACUGUGUACCAGUGUUGACUAAUGCUUUAUAUUUUUGUCAUUCUGAUGUGUUAGGUUAAUGAAUCUACGUAGUUUAAAAUAGAAACAAAUAGAAAUUUAAAAAAACCCAUAAAAAUAGAAAGAUAUAAAGAUAAAUAUAUAAAUUCAUAAUAAAUUGAUAAUUUUAAAAAUAGAAAUACAUAUAUCAAUAGAAAAUCUAUAAUACAGAUGUAGAUAAAUAUGCACACAAAAUAUAAGUAGUAUUAUGUAUGUUAUUGUUAUAUUAUAUAUAAGAAUAUGUAUAAAAUAUAAAUAUAAGUUUAAAAAAAAUAUUAAAAUACAGUGCUUUAAUAUUAAAGGGCUGAGGUCAAGGGCAAAAGCUCAGUGAUCAGGGGUCAAUGGUUAAAGUGAAAAGUCAGGGAUUCAAACUUCAGGGGUCACAUGUGAAUGGUCAAGGUUCAAAGAUCAAGAAGGGUCCAAGGUCCAAUGUUAUGGGUUAAUUUUCCAAGGUUGUGUGGUCCAAGGUCAAUUUUCAGGGAAUCAAACUUCAAAGAGUAGAAGUCAAGAAUCAAAGGUCAAAAUUCAGAGGUUAACAGUAAAAGGUCAAGGGUCAGGGUCAAAGGUGAAGGGUCCAAGGUUGGAGGUUGCCAGGGAGUUGCAGGGAAGAGGAGUAUUUAUAAACUUUAUCCGUAUUUCCUUGUAAUUCUGGGUGUUUGGAUUUCUUUUGUGCUCAUCAGGAUAACCCAUAAACAAGCCCCUGAACUCUGCAUCGAUGUGUCAAACACUUCCACAGAAAGGGUCUGGGGGAUCACCUGGAUGCACUUGGAUGCAGAGCAUUGCUUAAAGGAGGUGUCGAGGGACAAACCUUUGUGCCAAGAAACAGCAGAUGAGCCAGCAUGGAUUUGCAAGGGGGGACUUUUCUUCUUCAGGCCAAGCUGAGCUGAAGCGAACCGAGUAUAUAACUAGGCAAUCCUCCCCUUGCAGCUGCUGAGAGCACUGAAAACCUGUGUGCUUCGUGGUGUCCGUUGCCCAGCUGGAGACGAUUCCCUUGUGUUUGGUGCAUUAAGUCACAGCGAGCUGUGUGGGGUGGCAGGUGACCACAUUGCCCGACCCUUUUAGCUUUUCUGGCUCACACACAACUUCCUUUCCUUUUUUCUAUGGAAAACAGUGCCUGUGUGUGCCUGUGUGACCAGUUGCAGUCACCUG
rnacentral:lncRNA from 1 species